UUACGGCCAUAUCACACUGAAAUACAAGUUUCCAUAUGAUCACUGAAGUUAAGCAACAUCAAGCUUGGUCACUACCUAGAUGGGUGAAUGCUUAGGAAUACCAGGUACUGUAAG